GUGCUCUUCGGAUCUCUCCAGACUGUGCCCUCCAAGGUCGUGUAUCAGUACAUCUAAGGCAGUCACCUUUUCUGCAUCAGGCUCUAGCCUGUGAAGGACUGAACCAUAUGGGAAAGGAGUGAAGUAGAAAUGGGGAAAUACAUCCCCUCACUGUCUCGAGGAUUCCUUUUCAAAGCUGCUGUUGAAUAAAUAGACCUUCUGUGUUGUCUUC